CAAGAAGAGACCCUAACCGGUCCUCUCAACCCUGCCCAUCGUACCUUUUUUGUUGUUCCCUCGGCGGUGCUCGCGGGCCCGCCGGCGGGAAGACCAAACAAACCCUUUGCAAACAAGCAUAUCGAAUCUCUGAUCAAGCAUGAAUUGUCA
rnacentral:misc_RNA from 1 species